rnacentral:rRNA from 1 species
GACGAACGCUGGCGGCGUGCUUAACACAUGCAAGUCGAACGCUGAAGCUCAGCUUUUGUUGGGUGGAUGAGUGGCGAACGGGUGAGUAACACGUGAGUAACCUGCCUCCUUCUUUGGGAUAACGCCCGGAAACGGGUGCUAAUACUGGAUAUUCACUGGUCUUCGCAUGGGGGUUGGUGGAAAGGGUUUUUCUGGUGGGGGAUGGGCUCGCGGCCUAUCAGCUUGUUGGUGGGGUGAUGGCCUACCAAGGCUUUGACGGGUAGCCGGCCUGAGAGGGUGACCGGUCACAUUGGGACUGAGGUACGGCCCAGACUCCUACGGGAGGCAGCAGUGGGGAAUAUUGCACAAUGGGCGAAAGCCUGAUGCAGCGACGCCGCGUGAGGGCUGGAGGCCUUCGGGUUGUGAACCUCUUUCGCUCAUGGUCAAGCCGCAACAAUGGUUGUGGUGAGGGUAGUGGGUAAAGAAGCGCCGGCUAACUACGUG